AAUACAUGCAAGUCGAACGCUUCUUUUUCCACCGGAGCUUGCUCCGCCGGAAAAAGAGGAGUGGCGAACGGGUGAGUAACACGUGGGUAACCUGCCCAUCAGAAGGGGAUAACACUUGGAAACAGGUGCUAAUACCGUAUAACAAUCGAAACCGCAUGGUUUUGAUUUGAAAGGCGCUUUCGGGUGUCGCUGAUGGAUGGACCCGCGGUGCAUUAGCUAGUUGGUGAGGUAACGGCUCACCAAGGCGACGAUGCAUAGCCGACCUGAGAGGGUGAUCGGCCACAUUGGGACUGAGACACGGCCCAAACUCCUACGGGAGGCAGCAGUAGGGAAUCUUCGGCAAUGGACGAAAGUCUGACCGAGCAACGCCGCGUGAGUGAAGAAGGUUUUCGGAUCGUAAAACUCUGUUGUUAGAGAAGAACAAGGAUGAGAGUAACUGUUCAUCCCUUGACGGUAUCUAACCAGAAAGCCACGGCUAACUACGUGCCAGCAGCCGCGGUAAUACGUAGGUGGCAAGCGUUGUCCGGAUUUAUUGGGCGUAAAGCGAGCGCAGGCGGUUUCUUAAGUCUGAUGUGAAAGCCCCCGGCUCAACCGGGGAGGGUCAUUGGAAACUGGAAGACUUGAGUGCAAAAGAGGAGAGUGGAAUUCCAUGUGUAGCGGUGAAAUGCGUAGAUAUAUGGAGGAACACCAGUGGCGAAGGCGGCUCUCUGGUCUGUAACUGACGCUGAGGCUCAAAAGCGUGGGGAGCAAACAGGAUUAGAUACCCUGGUAGUCCACGCCGUAAACGAUGAGUGCUAAGUGUUGGAGGGUUUCCGCCCUUCAGUGCUGCAGCUAACGCAUUAAGCACUCCGCCUGGGGAGUACGACCGCAAGGUUGAAACUCAAAGGAAUUGACGGGGGCCCGCACAAGCGGUGGAGCAUGUGGUUUAAUUCGAAGCAACGCGAAGAACCUUACCAGGUCUUGACAUCCUUUGACCACUCUAGAGAUAGAGCUUCCCCUUCGGGGGCAAAGUGACAG
rnacentral:rRNA from 1 species